rnacentral:rRNA from 1 species
ACUCUGGGGGGUAGAGCACUGUUUCGGCUAGGGGGUCAUCCCGACUUACCAAACCGAUGCAAACUCCGAAUACCCAGAAGUGCCGAGCAUGGGAGACACACGGCGGGUGCUAACGUCCGUCGUGAAAAGGGAAACAACCCAGACCGCCAGCUAAGGUCCCAAAGUUGUGGUUAAGUGGUAAACGAUGUGGGAAGGCUUAGACAGCUAGGAGGUUGGCUUAGAAGCAGCCACCCUUUAAAGAAAGCGUAAUAGCUCACUAGUCGAGUCGGCCUGCGCGGAAGAUGUAACGGGGCUCAAACCACACACCGAAGCUGCGGGUGUCACGUAAGUGACGCGGUAGAGGAGCGUUCUGUAAGCCUGUGAAGGUGAGUUGAGAAGCUUGCUGGAGGUAUCAGAAGUGCGAAUGCUGACAUGAGUAACGACAAUGGGUGUGAAAAACACCCACGCCGAAAGACCAAGGGUUCCUGCGCAACGUUAAUCGACGCAGGGUUAGUCGGUUCCUAAGGCGAGGCUGAAAAGCGUAGUCGAUGGGAAACAGGUUAAUAUUCCUGUACUUCUGGUUACUGCGAUGGAGGGACGGAGAAGGCUAGGCCAGCUUGGCGUUGGUUGUCCAAGUUUAAGGUGGUAGGCUGAAAUCUUAGGUAAAUCCGGGGUUUCAAGGCCGAGAGCUGAUGACGAGUCGUCUUUUAGAUGACGAAGUGGUUGAUGCCAUGCUUCCAAGAAAAGCUUCUAAGCUUCAGGUAACCAGGAACCGUACCCCAAACCGACACAGGUGGUCGGGUAGAGAAUACCAAGGCGCUUGAGAGAACUCGGGUGAAGGAACUAGGCAAAAUGGCACCGUAACUUCGGGAGAAGGUGCGCCGGCUAGGGUGAAGGAUUUACUCCGUAAGCUCUGGCUGGUCGAAGAUACCAGGCCGCUGCGACUGUUUAUUAAAAACACAGCACUCUGCAAACACGAAAGUGGACGUAUAGGGUGUGACGCCUGCCCGGUGCCGGAAGGUUAAUUGAUGGGGUUAGCGCAAGCGAAGCUCUUGAUCGAAGCCCCGGUAAACGGCGGCCGUAACUAUAACGGUCCUAAGGUAGCGAAAUUCCUUGUCGGGUAAGUUCCGACCUGCACGAAUGGCGUAACGAUGGCGGCGCUGUCUCCACCCGAGACUCAGUGAAAUUGAAAUCGCUGUGAAGAUGCAGUGUAUCCGCGGCUAGACGGAAAGACCCCGUGAACCUUUACUGUAGCUUUGCACUGGACUUUGAGCCUGCUUGUGUAGGAUAGGUGGGAGGCUUUGAAGCGUGGACGCCAGUUCGCGUGGAGCCAUCCUUGAAAUACCACCCUGGCAUGCUUGAGGUUCUAACUCUGGUCCGUGAUCCGGAUCGAGGACAGUGUAUGGUGGGCAGUUUGACUGGGGCGGUCUCCUCCUAAAGAGUAACGGAGGAGUACGAAGGUGCGCUCAGACCGGUCGGAAAUCGGUCGCAGAGUAUAAAGGCAAAAGCGCGCUUGACUGCGAGACAGACACGUCGAGCAGGUACGAAAGUAGGUCUUAGUGAUCCGGUGGUUCUGUAUGGAAGGGCCAUCGCUCAACGGAUAAAAGGUACUCCGGGGAUAACAGGCUGAUACCGCCCAAGAGUUCAUAUCGACGGCGGUGUUUGGCACCUCGAUGUCGGCUCAUCACAUCCUGGGGCUGAAGCCGGUCCCAAGGGUAUGGCUGUUCGCCAUUUAAAGUGGUACGCGAGCUGGGUUUAGAACGUCGUGAGACAGUUCGGUCCCUAUCUGCCGUGGACGUUUGAGAUUUGAGAGGGGCUGCUCCUAGUACGAGAGGACCGGAGUGGACGAACCUCUGGUGUUCCGGUUGUCACGCCAGUGGCAUUGCCGGGUAGCUAUGUUCGGAAAAGAUAACCGCUGAAAGCAUCUAAGCGGGAAACUUGCCUCAAGAUGAGAUCUCACUGGGAACUUGAUUCCCCUGAAGGGCCGUCGAAGACUACGACGUUGAUAGGCUGGGUGUGUAAGCGUUGU